rnacentral:rRNA from 1 species
AAUCAACGCUGGCGGCGUGCCUCAGACAUGCAAGUCGAACGCGAAAGUCUCCUUCGGGGGACAAGUAGAGUGGCGCACGGGUGAGUAACACGUAGGUAAUCUACCUUCGGAUGGGGAAUAACAAUCGGAAACGGUUGCUAAUACCGCACAAUGCAGCGGCACCUAAUGGUGACAGUUGUUAAAGCGGGGGAUCGAAAGACCUCGCGUCUGAAGAGGAGCCUGCGGCGGAUUAGCUAGUUGGUAAGGUAAUAGCUUACCAAGGCGACGAUCCGUAACCGGCCUGAGAGGGCGGUCGGUCACACUGACACUGACAUACGGGUCAGACUCCUACGGGAGGCAGCAGUCGGGAAUUUUGGGUCAAUGGGCGAAAGCCUGACCCAGCAACGCCGCGUGAAGGAUGAAAUCCCUCGGGAUGUAAACUUCG